rnacentral:lncRNA from 1 species
CCCUGAGUCUUUCAGUAAGGUUUUCAGAGCCCAUGGUGAAUAGAUUUACUGGAAAGUUUGGCUCCCUCUAGGGUGCAAGGCCACAGUUUUCUAACAGCUACAGGACAACGGUAUUCCUUAGACACAAGGCAGAAGUGGGGCAGAUAGGCUUUGAGCCUAGAAGAAAGUAAUCCUUCAGCUUGGAUCUUAGUAGGAAAGUAAGAAAUCGAGAGCAGGCAUGGAUCUUACAUGAGGCUUGGGGUUUUCAGAGCUCUAAGACAAAAAUGGGCUUCUCUCUAGGGCUGGCAUAAGGAAGACAUUCCCAGAAGCCUUAGAUCCACUCCAUCUAGCCCUGAAAUGGAGAGGCCACAUGCAAUAGUGGCAAGCGAAAACUCCAAAACUUAUGGCACACACAACUGCAUCCACCCCCCACACUAAGAGAUUUGAGCAAACUCUAGCAUGGCUUCUGUCAGCUCAAGGCCAAGUCCCUAGAAUUACAAUGCCAGCCCCCUUAAAAUGCCUGCCCAAGAAAGCUCAGUGCUGCCAAAAGAAUUUACUGCUCCUUCCAGCCAAAACCUGACUAUAAGCCCCUGACGUUCCUUAGAGGCUUUACUUUAGAAGACUUGAAAUGACAAGUGCUUUCUCUGUCCCUUUGAGAUGUAUCUCCUACAACCCAGGAACGUGUUUCUCAAGGACCUGGAAGCCAUCCCUGUUAAAUGUGAUCAUCAGGAAAGAUAGAGCCACGGUCCCCCGGUCUCUGUGGGAAGAGGUGGGUUUCUGAGUACCUGACAGGUCAUAGAAGGUGAAAGAAAGAGACUCAGAUAUCGAAUCAGAAGAGUGUCACCUGCAUUCUCUCUCUGCCAGAGAUUAACCACGCGCCCUUCUACGAUGGCAUAGCUGCAACGUAAGUGAGCAGUGGCUUUGAAAGCAUGAGCUCCAGUUCCUGCCUUCCUGACCUUGUCCAGUGGUGGGCAUUGAGUCAAGCUGGGAGAUCUGAGCACAUUCAUCAGGAGAGGCCCAGAGUAAUUUCUGCUUCUCGGGUGUGGGAGUCCCUAUGCCAAGAUGGGCUCUGGCCCAGGAUGCUCCCUCAUCCAAGAUAGUCCUCAAAUGCUUCCUACUAUGCUUGCUCGCUCAAUAUGAAUAGACUUUUCUGCCCCAAUUUCCUGCUGAGGUUGUAGUGUUUAUAAAUACUAGCCAUUUUCCCUAGGCUUAGAUAUUCUGCCUGUGCUUGUCCAGUCCCCUCUUCUUGGGGCACCAGAUACUGUUUCUCCUCUCUACCCUACUGUUAGUCUUGGGGUCCUGCUCAAACAAGCAGUUCACCUGGACUGUGCCACUGUGUUGCUGCACUCACACAUGAAUCCACAUACCACUGCCUGGGAGCUCCCGGUUUGUGCCCCACCUGUCAAACUAGAUCUGUGUUCUGGCUCUACCUGCUCAUGUGACCUGAGUUCCCACAUUCCUGUGGAACAUGCAGUUUGAACUAACAGCCACCACACUCAGAGUCACUUUGCAAGUCAGAGAAGUUCCCAUAUGCCUCUUCCUGACUGUGUCCCCUCCACCACUAGCUUCUCACAGGGGCCUUGGGAUGGGAUCUCAAAAGAUCUUAUUCAAAAUCUGGUUUUGGGAAUCAUUCUGACUGCAGCAAUUUUUUUGGAACUCUGCUCUGAAAACUGCCACGCAAACGAAUCAUUCUCAUUGCUUUGAAGAUACGCCUCUUUUAUGGUGAAAAGGAUGUGUCUUGGUUUUGUCAGCCCACAUCUCCCUUUUUCACUUUUCUCAUAAGUGUGGGAGAACUGGAAUUUGAAGGGAAAGUCAAUAUAUUAUCAGUUUUGACACAUCCUCUCAUCACUGUUCAAUGAGCUUGUAUUAUAUUUAAAAUAAUUAAUAAAAUGCUAAUUUGAUCUUGGUCAAUCCUUUUAUUGGAUCGAGCUGAACAACUUCAGUGAGUUUAGCACUGUUAAAUAUGUUCUUUAAAGUACUGAUAAUAACAAAGGCAUGGGCUGCAAUUGCAAGAACUAUAAUGCCAUCUGAAUUAAUGUCUUUGAGAUAAAGGGCUUUCCUGCAGAGCGUUCAACUGGAAGAUGUACCCAGUGGGUAAGUAGCAAAGACUGCUUAAGUCCUUGUGGAGACCAGGUGGUGUUGCAAUUCAGAUUUCAGUUCUUCCUCCUUUUGUGUGGAAUGCAAGAAUUCAGGAAAAUCCAUCAACCAUUAAGCUUUGUACUGUUAAGUUUUUCUGACUAUAACCUGAGAUGAUAAUAACAGCUCAGGGUACUAUCCUGUGAUUGGGUCA